rnacentral:rRNA from 1 species
GACGAACGCUGGCGGCGUGCCUAAUACAUGCAAGUCGAACGCAUUUUCUUUCACCGUAGCUUGCUACACCGAAAGAAAAUGAGUGGCGAACGGGUGAGUAACACGUGGGUAACCUGCCCAUCAGCGGGGGAUAACACUUGGAAACAGGUGCUAAUACCGCAUAAGCCCACAGCUCGGCAUCGAGCAGAGGGAAAAGGAGUGAUCCGCUUUGAGAUGGCCUCGCGUCCGAUUAGCUGGUUGGUGAGGUAACGGCCCACCAAGGCGACGAUCGGUAGCCGGACUGAGAGGUUGAACGGCCACAUUGGGACUGAGACACGGCCCAG